CGUACAAAAGGGUUACGACGCCACACAACUAAUUACACUUCGGGCUAAAAAGAAAGACAGAAUGAAAAAAGGGUUAAAUUUAGGCCCCGGGGAAAUUCACUUCAUUUACACAUUGAAGGUGGAAAAUUCCCGGCUCGCUUUUACAACCCAAAAGUUGCCGCCGUCUUCGUUCGUUCAUUGAGCAGACCAACGAUCUCCGCGAGAUCCGAUGCCGUUGGUCAUUAUGAAUCGCGCCAGACUUUUGAUGGGAAAGACCCGGAAUGUCAUUAGGACCUCAGCCAUUGCAAACAAGAUCGUAAAUUAUGCUGCUGGUAAAUUGCUGCCAUUAAUUUUCCUUCACCGAAGAAACAAUCCAUUGCACACAAUUACUGCCCUUGGAGGUGGUGUAUGUAUAUUGGAAGCUUUUCCUUGGCAUUCAGCUGGCAGCGGACUUUCAAUCUGACAAAUCUGAAAUUAAUUCACUCCACGGCGAUUCGGUAUUAUUAUUAUUUCGGAUUUGAAUGCCAGCGCUGGGACAGUGGACGAUGGAAAACUAACGAUCCGAGGGGAAAAUGCAGCAGCCCGCAUUCACUGGAGGAUGGGGAGGAGGCUUGGCUAUGGUGUCUCUUUUUUUAAUUAAUUCAAUUAUCAAAACAAACGUUUAUUGACUUUGAUCCCAGUCCCGUAUGAUGAUGGGUACGUCACGACAUCAAUUUCCAAGUCUAACGACUCGAGUUUUACGUUUUACAGCCGAUGCGUUUUGGGGGAAAAUUGCCUCCAAUUAAGAGGAGUAAACAAAGAGACAAGGGGAUGCAUUGAGAUGAGAGGUGGAUUGGCUUGAUGACAACAAACUUGACAGACCGAAAAAAAGAAAAACCGAAAGAAACUGAAAAUGCAAUGCCAGAGGAGACAUAGUUUCAGGGGAAAUCCCGUUGCCGGUUGGGGAAA